GUUGGGACUACACAUGUGCCAUCACACUCAGCUUUUGUCUGUGAUCCAUGUGGAAACCAUUCUUCUGUGUAUAGUGUAAGGGAAACCACCUUUGCUUUGACAUAUGUGUGUAAACGGUAUUGUCUGUCGAACGUUGCCUCGUGAGUCAUAAAAAGAAACAUCCCAGCCUCUUUGUUAAGAGAAGUGCUGUCAAGUAAGUAGUAGAGUUAUAUGAGUGAGACAGAAAAUAAAAUUCCACCUCCAACAACCUCUGAAAUGGGAGGUGGGUCAUUCAGACACCAUUUCUUCAUGAACUGCUGCCCUGUUCCUCUACCCAGUCCACAGAGGAAAGGCAAUAGCAGGGCAUUUCCUUGUGUCCUUCAAGCUCUCCCUGGCUCUCCUGUGCACGUGAAAAGACACCCACAGAAGCUCAGGGGUGACUGCAGCCCAUACUCUGUAGCCCUCUACCUGGGCCAGCUGCCCCGGACAAUUGCACCUGAUAGCUUUUCCAGAGCAGAGCAGCCAGAGAGGUGACAAAGAAUGAAAGCACUGAAAAAUGUCAACCUGGGAAGCAAAUGUGAAACCCAUUUCCAAACAGGGAAGGCAAGGAGAAAAGCAAGUCACAUCAGAACAGAGAUGGGGGAGAAACCCCUCUGAGUCUUAAAAGAGAAGGGUUGCAAUUAAGAUGGAAUUAGGAAGUAGAAAAAGAAGCAGAAUGCAAGAUUUAAGCCCAUUUCAAAGCUUUUCAGAAACCAGACUCAAGGCAGCUUUAAAGCAUUCUGAAUUUUUAAAAUCAGAACACAUAUUCGUAUCAUUACUUCAAAAAGCAAAGACACAACAGUGAAAAACCUUUUAUUGCUCUUGGAAGUAAAAUCUAAUAGCCUUCAUCUAUUUGGAGCAUGAGGUGGAAAGGAAAGUGGUAAAAGGGUAAAAAUCAAGUGUUCUAGAGUUAGGGUUAGUUUUCUUUUUUCAAGCUCUAGUUCACACUCAUCUUGAAUUUUCUGAAGCCUGUAGUUAUGAUCCCAUUGUGAACAUAUACAACAAAAAAUGUCAAAUAAAACAUUAUUACAACUUUCAA